UACAGAGGUCUCAAGCGUUGUUCGGAUUCAUUGGGCGUAAAGGGUGCGUAGGCGGCGCGGUAAGUCGGGUGUGAAAUCUCGGAGCUUAACUCCGAAACUGCAUUCGAUACUGCGGUGCUUUGAGGACUGGGAGAGGAGACUGGAAUUCAUGGUGUAGCAGUGAAAUGCGUAGAGAUCAUGAGGAAGACCAGUGGCGAAGGCGGGUCUCUGGGCAGUAACUGACGGUGGAGGAGCGAAAGCGUGGGGAGCGAACAGG
rnacentral:rRNA from 1 species